GGGGAAAUGGCUGAUAAUAGGCAAUAAAUUGUAAAUUUAUUUAUGAAUAAAAUUUCUUUUCCUA
rnacentral:tRNA from 1 species